GAGUGUGAUCAUACCAGCACUAAAGCACCAGAUCCCAUCAGAACUUCUAAGUUAAGCGUGCUUGGGCGAGAGUAGUACUAAGAUGGGUGACCCUUGGGAAGUCCUCAUGUUGCACUCC
rnacentral:rRNA from 15 species